rnacentral:tRNA from 1 species
UACCCCCAGGGGAAGUCGAAUCCCCGCUGCCUCCU